GAUGAACGCUGGCGGCGUGCCUAAUACAUGCAAGUCGAGCGAACGGACGAGAAGCUUGCUUCUCUGAUGUUAGCGGCGGACGGGUGAGUAACACGUGGAUAACCUACCUAUAAGACUGGGAUAACUUCGGGAAACCGGAGCUAAUACCGGAUAAUAUUUUGAACCGCAUGGUUCAAAAGUGAAAGACGGUCUUGCUGUCACUUAUAGAUGGAUCCGCGCUGCAUUAGCUAGUUGGUAAGGUAACGGCUUACCAAGGCAACGAUGCAUAGCCGACCUGAGAGGGUGAUCGGCCACACUGGAACUGAGACACGGUCCAGACUCCUACGGGAGGCAGCAGUAGGGAAUCUUCCGCAAUGGGCGAAAGCCUGACGGAGCAACGCCGCGUGAGUGAUGAAGGUCUUCGGAUCGUAAAACUCUGUUAUUAGGGAAGAACAUAUGUGUAAGUAACUGUGCACAUCUUGACGGUACCUAAUCAGAAAGCCACGGCUAACUACGUGCCAGCAGCCGCGGUAAUACGUAGGUGGCAAGCGUUAUCCGGAAAUAUUGGGCGUAAAGCGCGCGUAGGCGGUUUUUUAAGUCUGAUGUGAAAGCCCACGGCUCAACCGUGGAGGGUCAUUGGAAACUGGAAAACUUGAGUGCAGAAGAGGAAAGUGGAAUUCCAUGUGUAGCGGUGAAAUGCGCAGAGAUAUGGAGGAACACCAGUGGCGAAGGCGACUUUCUGGUCUGUAACUGACGCUGAUGUGCGAAAGCGUGGGGAUCAAACAGGAUUAGAUACCCUGGUAGUCCACGCCGUAAACGAUGAGUGCUAAGUGUUAGGGGGUUUCCGCCCCUUAGUGCUGCAGCUAACGCAUUAAGCACUCCGCCUGGGGAGUACGACCGCAAGGUUGAAACUCAAAGGAAUUGACGGGGACCCGCACAAGCGGUGGAGCAUGUGGUUUAAUUCGAAGCAACGCGAAGAACCUUACCAAAUCUUGACAUCCUUUGACAACUCUAGAGAUAGAGCCUUCCCCUUCGGGGGACAAAGUGACAGGUGGUGCAUGGUUGUCGUCAGCUCGUGUCGUGAGAUGUUGGGUUAAGUCCCGCAACGAGCGCAACCCUUAAGCUUAGUUGCCAUCAUUAAGUUGGGCACUCUAAGCUGACUGCCGGUGACAAACCGGAGGAAGGUGGGGAUGACGUCAAAUCAUCAUGCCCCUUAUGAUUUGGGCUACACACGUGCUACAAUGGACAAUACAAAGGGCAGCGAAACCGCGAGGUCAAGCAAAUCCCAUAAAGUUGUUCUCAGUUCGGAUUGUAGUCUGCAACUCGACUACAUGAAGCUGGAAUCGCUAGUAAUCGUAGAUCGGCAUGCUACGGUGAAUACGUUCCCGGGUCU
rnacentral:rRNA from 1 species